AUCUGCCCAAGUGGGUUCCUCAGUGCUUCUGCCGUGUAAUAUUUCCAGCAAAUUGUCAUCCAGCCAAAAGCCACACAUCGAGUGGCACAUCUCUUCUGAGAUAGUGUUUGAGCGAUGCGUUAAUGAGUCAUUUUCAGGUGAGGGCUAUGAAGGCCGUGUGGACGUUCCUGAAGAUAAGCUGAGUCAAGGAGAUGGUUCCCUGGUGUUGAAGGAUUUCAGACAUGCUGAUGGAAAGGUCUAUGAAUGCUACCUUAUAGAGAAGGAAGGCCUCCAAAAUAAACGGGCUUUCAUUCAGCGUGUCAACCUCUCAGUUGAAGUUCCCCCAGAACCAACUAAGGAGAGUCUCCAUUUGAGGCAUGCUGGGGUGAACUGUCCUUCUCCAUGGAUUAUAGCACUUUGUCUCCUCUCGUACUUCCUCUUCCAUAGAACUUUUGUAUGUUGAGGUGCAUCUUCAAGGAUCAACACUGCAGUGAACUGAAGGGAUAAGAUGUCUAGAGCUCCUGGAAGACUGAAGUCAAGACUUUUUUUGGCAGUGAUGGAAGAGGAUGGUGACAAAAAUGGACAACAUCUAUGGUGCAAUACUCAAGAGCAGCUUUAGCCACCGGCUAAUUCCCCCAGGGUGCCAUGGGAGCUGCUCUGGCAGCUACUAUUAGCUCCUCAAUGCU